rnacentral:lncRNA from 1 species
UCUUUCAUUCAUUCAUUCAUAGCAAGUUUACAGUCAUUCUCAAUUACAUGUAGGACAUUCAGUGGCACAUUCUGCAGUAUAUAAAAAUCUCCAUGAGCUCUAGCAUGAGCUGCUAUCUCAUGUGCGGCCACGUUGCACUCUCUUCCAAUUUUACUCACCUGCACGAACUGAACUCCCGCAUUAUAGUCUUUGCUUCUUCAUAAGUAGCCCACCACUUAGUGUUGAUUCUUUCAUCUGUAUUCACAGCCGCAACGACAACAGCACAGUCUGAUUCCACAAAUAAAAAGAAUUUCAUCAAUUGUUGAACAGUCCCUUUGUGCCGGCUAUUUAUCUAGGCACCGCAAUAUGAAUAGAGGAUAUAUGUGGAUAGUCGGAUGGUCGAAUCGCUGAUGGACGAAAAGCAAAGCGAGGUUGCAAUAAGCCUCCGGAGAAUUGAAAUUGGCGGAAGUACUAAAUUAGCAAGGAAAGGGAAAAGGAGUGCCGAGGCUAAACGCGCAGUAGAGAAGAGACGAAUCAUCAGCGACCGCUGGGAAAUUGGGAAUUGCUACGCUGAAUGUGUGCAUGAUGGAAUAGGAAGGUAUCAAUCAGUUCAUUUUUUUACAUGAACGUACUAACAUAGGAACAAAUCAGUCACUGGCUUCCUACCUUCGUUGAACUAGACGAUACCCCACGCGUUGCUGCGGAACUGUAUGCUAAAAAUAAUUAUCUUGAGCAUUAUUAUAUGCUUCAUCGCAAUAAAAACAUCCAUUGGAAUUUUGAGUCAAUAAAGAGACACUGUGCACACAAAAGACUUCUUUUUUAUAAAAGAUGUGUAGUCGAGAACGUUGGGGAAGUAAUGGUAAAAGUAAUUGACAUGUUUAUUGAGUUAAGUUUUAUUGAUGUAAAAGGAUUAAGCAUCCAAAUAUUGUUACUAUCAGUGAGAAAAAUAGUAGUGUUGUAGAAGUAGUAAAUGUAUUACUAUUCCACAAAUCUUUGUCCAACAAUCUGGAAGCACCAGAGAAAAUUCCUAAAGCAGGGUCUCCCUAGAGGUAAGUAUUAUCUGAACUUGUGAAGGCCACCGGUUCGGUUGGAGAAGCGGUUCGCUUCCGCUUCUACGGGCCGAUGAAGGAGGAGCGAACGGGAGGAGCGUCGAGCGGACAGGGAGGGUCAAUGCUUGGCUGCAGAUCAGCCACACACGGGCAAUCAAACGGUAGAAUUUUUUUGGGAUGACGUGGACGCAUGAGAGGGCUGAGAAAUCAGGUAGUGGGGUGCUCCUAUUUAGAUAUACUCCCUCCGUCCGGAAAUACUUGUCGAAGAAAUACAUAAAAAUAGAUGUAUCUAGAACUAAAAUACGUCUAGAUACAUCCAUUCCUCUGACAAGUAUUUCCGGACGGAGGGAGUAGUAGAUGUGUGUGCGGUUAUCUUGUUCCCUGAGCUGAACAACUAUUCUUUUUUUUUGUCGUAUCGUCAAAAUGAAAGUAAUUCGUGUAUCUUCUAGAAUAAAAUAACUAUAGGAGACAAAAAAGUGUUACCCCAUAGACGAAAACUUGGAGGGCAAAGUCACCUUCUUUAACUGAAUUUUAAACCAACCAAUGCAGC